rnacentral:misc_RNA from 1 species
AAAUAUGGACUCUUAUGUAUUAUAUUAAAUACAAGUGAAUGAAACAUAGCCCUUUAAGGUUGCAUCCGCAGACAUAGGCCCUUAGCAGUUCGAACCACAUAAAUCCUUUCUUGAUAUUUUUUCCAUCUUUUAUAUAAUUCUAAAUUUCAACAUAUCUAAUGCAAGACUCAUUGAUAAGCUAAGGCUAUGACAUGAAGGGAAGGCUAGAAGAACAACAGAACCAUGCCCACCAGAGCUAAAGAGAGACCCAAGGGACUUGCAGUAAGCUGCCAU